rnacentral:rRNA from 1 species
GGAAUCUUCCGCAUGGACGAAAGUCUGACGGAGCACGCCGCGUGAGUGAUGAAGGUUUUCGGAUCGUAAAACUCUGUUGUCAGGGAAGAACAAGUACCGGAGUAACUGCCGGUACCUUGACGGUACCUGACCAGAAAGCCACGGCUAACUACGUGCCAGCAGCCGCGGUAAUACGUAGGUGGCAAGCGUUGUCCGGAAUUAUUGGGCGUAAAGCGCGCGCAGGCGGUUCCUUAAGUCUGAUGUGAAAGCCCCCGGCUCAACCGGGGAGGGUCAUUGGAAACUGGGGAACUUGAGUGCAGAAGAGAAGAGUGGAAUUCCACGUGUAGCGGUGAAAUGCGUAGAGAUGUGGAGGAACACCAGUGGCGAAGGCGACUCUUUGGUCUGUAACUGACGCUGAGGCGCGAAAGCGUGGGGAGCAAACAGGAUUAGAUACCCUGGUAGUCCACGCCGUAAACGAUGAGUGCUAAGUGUUAGAGGGUUUCCGCCCUUUAGUGCUGCAGCAAACGCAUUAAGCACUCCGCCUGGGGAGUACGGCCG